AACGCGACCCCAGGUCAGGCGGGGCUACCCGCUGA
rnacentral:rRNA from 2 species